GACGAACGCUGGCGGCGUGCUUAACACAUGCAAGUCGAACGAAGUGGCGCACGGGUUAGUAACGCGUAAUCAACCUUCCCUUCAGAGGGGGACAACAGUUGGAAACGACUGCUAAUACCGCAUACUGAAGGAGGGGAUUGCGUCUGAUUGGCUAGUUGGCGGGGUAACGGCCCACCAAGGCGAUGAUCAGUAGCCGGUAGGUGAUGAUGAACGUGCACAUUGGGACUGAGACACGGCCCAGACUCCUACGGGAGGCAGCAGUGGGGAAGCUUCCGCAAUGGACGAAAGUCUGACGGAGCAACGCCGGGUGGGUGAUGACGGCCUUCGGGUUGUAAAGCUCUGUUAAUCGGGACGCGGUACCGGAAUAGAAAGCCACGGCUAACUACGUGCCAGCCGCCGCGGUAAUUC
rnacentral:rRNA from 1 species